rnacentral:rRNA from 1 species
ACGGGUGAGUAACGCGUGGGUAACCUGCCUUAUACAGGGGGAUAACAGUCAGAAAUGGCUGCUAAUACCGCAUAAGCGCACAGAGCUGCAUGGCUCAGUGUGAAAAACUCCGGUGGUAUAAGAUGGACCCGCGUUGGAUUAGCUUGUUGGNGGGGUAACGGCCCACCAAGGCGACGAUCCAUAGCCGGCCUGAGAGGGUGAACGGCCACAUUGGGACUGAGACACGGCCCAGACUCCUACGGGAGGCAGCAUG